CUGCGUCUUGCUUCAACAGUGUUUGAACCGAACAG
rfam:Otolemur garnettii contig003408, whole genome shotgun sequence.